GACCACCAAGUUAAUACAGCUUGUUAAUGAUAAAAAAAGUCUGAACAGGUUGGUGGCGGCCCCAAGUGGCUGGGUCAGCCUGGAGCUGGAAGAAAGGAUUGUGCAUUGACAAGAAAAAGUUCACAAGCUUGGGAAACAGAAUGAGAGCCUCCCCUUUCAGCUGACCAGCAGCUCCAGAUUCCAGGCCACAGACCUUGUCCAUACAGCUGGGUUCAAUCUUUUAUUAGCAGUGGUCUCAGAAAAGUGAGCGAGGCUGCUGGUAUGCCAGAGCACACAAGGAAAGGUGUAAUUCACAUUUAUUAAAAACAAUGGUUUAUAUCCCUAGCAAUUGCUUCACUGUAGCAAGUCCAUACUCUUUUUUGUUCAUUAGUGGGCAAUAAUAGUACCUGUAGGCAGAAAGAUUGUUCUUUCCUCUUGUUCUUCUGUUUAUUUAUAGCAGUCAUGAUAACUUGCUUGCCUUUGAAGCCCUUAUUAUGAAAAUCCACAGUAGUUGGGGUUAAACAAAAGAACAGAUCUGAGAAGACAGUAGCUAUCAGGCAAGUUUUCUAAUAGUUAAAGUCAUUGGACUUCCUUAGUAAAACUUCUCUACAUGUUAAAGGGUUAUAAAAGUAGUAUAUGAAAAAGUUUAGUGUUUUCAUGUUAUAACAAAGUUUCACAUCUGUAGUUUGUUUGCACAUGUUUUUCCUUUUUUAAUUUCAAGGUUUGUUCUAGUCUCUUAAUACAUGUGUGCACAGCACUGCAGACUAGAAAAAUCUCUCACACGUGUGGGCUUUGAAAAGCAAAUACUACAAUGCAGCCAUCUAUAAUGGUGCUUUUUAGUGCUGAGUCUUUCUGCUUAAGGCAGGCUCCCUCUCAGGCCUUUACUCACUGUAGUUACAUUUGAAUCACACUUUAAAACUCUCAUAUUUUCGUAGGAACAUUAUCAGUUAACCUAUACACUGAACUGAUAAUGUGUUUUAAAAAAACCCCAACAGCUACAGCCCUGAUUCAAACCUGAGUCAGCAGAAUUGUCUCCUUAACUUCCAGAAAUCAUGGGUCGAGCUGGUGGCCAGUUACACCCUCAGACCAGUCUUCAUUUUUAUUACAUUGAUUCAGGUAUAUGAUAACAGCAACAAUUCUUGUGUUUUUAGAUAAAAAAUGUGUUUGUUUCUACCAAUUUGCCUCUCUAAUCUGUUUGUAGUGGAAGUUUUGAUGAUUUUCUUACACCUAUGUUUUUACACUUCAUAUCAUUGAUUGGGCGGUUUUAUUCCCAAAAUCUAUUUGUUUGGUUUUUAUCUUACAAUGAAAAAAUAGGGUGGAAAUGUAAUAAAUUUAUUCAGGCCCAGUGCUACCAGAUAGAAGAGGGCAACUUGCUUCUGGGAAUACAGAUCAAAUGUUGACAUGACAGAGUGGGAGGACUUAUCUUGGUAUAAAAACAGAUCCAGAUCUAAGAUGUCCUGUGCAGAAUUAGGAUUGGGACCAUAUUGAUUAAGGCAGAGAUUCUUAAACAAAAAAAGGAAAAGUUGUUUACAGAAGGUCCAGCUCAAAUAACAAUGUUCAGAAAUUUCAUAGAAGUUCUGAAGUGUCUAUCUGUUUUCUAAAGCCUUGUCCAAACCAGAGGGGAUUCUGGUAAUUUGAGUGCUCUGAAUAUGCAAUUUCUUGAACACAUUUUCUUGAGGUGAAGACUUACUAGAAAUCUAGUAACCAAUACUCAGAACUUGAACACAGUAGCAUUGUCUUCCAUAAGGACAGAGUACUUUGUAUAAUAUUCAUUGAGCACAGACUAUUUCAUGUUUUUGUCUUGCAUAUGUCCUCAUCCUGUCCUUUUGAUCAAUGAUGAUAAACCCAACAGACUGAUGUUGGAUUUGUGCCCUCUUUUUUUUCAAAGACUGCUGAACUCUUACAUUGCUCAGUCAAACCUCUCAAAUCAUUUUUAGUGCAGAUCAGAAAACAUGCAGGACAUUUAUCCAAAAAUACAAUGCCUGGAAAAAUUCAGGAAAGCCUGGCUGCCUCUAGGUUGUGAAGGGACAAAAAAAAUCCACAAAGAAUAAAUAUACCUUACUGUGUCUGCUUUAUGUUUGGCUGCUUUAAAAAUAUCAUAGCAAAUUGAUCCAAAAGAUCUUCAAUAUAAUUCUUACAAAAUGUUAGGUAUAAGUUCAUAGCAAACAAUUUAAUGUUCAUUACUACCCAUGAAUAAUUUGGAAUCUAGCAAUAGUAGAAAACUAUUGGCUUUGUAUGAGGGUAGAGUAGCAAAUUAGGUGUAGCUGUGCAGUGCAGCAAAGUCAGGCAAACAUGCAUGCAGAAUGUGUUCAUAAUAAAGCCUCUAUUAGUUAAGUCUUUUAUCUUUUGUUUUUUGCUUUUGCAAAAAAAUAAAUGCAAAAUUUUGCAGCUUUGCAUGUAUUUCCCCUUUUUGACUGUUUCAGUUUCAGACUGUUACCUUUAGUGGUGUUAAGGAUCUAGUGUGGCAUGAUCCUGCAGUCCUUACUUGUUUGAUUUCAAUGGAAGUUCUCCUGGAUGAGAAAGGUGUCAUCAGUUCUUUAGCUGCCUUUCAAGGGAGGGACCCCAUUAUUAUGUGUGAGCAUUCUUUUGUGCAUCAGUGGUGCUACAUAAAUUAUACGUCAUAAUAUUUGCUAUUAAAUUAUUCACAGAGUCAUAAGUCUCCCCUAUUCAGAAUUUCCUUUAUAUAGUUUAAAUAGGUUAAAGAAGUUGUUUCCAUAAAUAAUGUCUCAGUCUGUGCCUACAGUGAAUUUAGAAAAUAUUUUAAAUAUUUUUUCAUUAUUUGAAAGUAAUCUGUUUCGAAGAACUUCUGUGCUUCAUUUUUGUAUGAACACUCUUCUUCAAGUACAGCAGACAGAAACUGAAGAUAAGAUCUAAAUUUGAUGUCAGCUACCAUAUUUAUAUGAAAACUUUUAAGGAGUCUGAAAGUAAAGAAGAACUCCAAAUUCAGCUAUAAAAAAUCUUCAAAUAAAGCCACGCUCUAAAAAGUAGUGCAGAUUCUUAUUGAUGUUCAUCAAACUUGUAUCCAAACCAUAAUAUUUGACCUAAGUUACUAUCUGUGAGUUAAGUUCUGAAAGUAUUUUCUUUAUAAUCUAUUUCUAGUUUGAAACCUGAUAGAAGAUAUGUUAGUAUUUGAGAGAUGCUGUAUUUGAGUGAAAAUACUAGGAAAUAAAUUGAAAAAUGUCCACCAGUACAUAUGAAGAGUUGUGUGUGUUCUAUAAUUUUGCCACCAGCAUACUUUAUGGAAGACUCUUAAUCCUCAUGUUUUCCAAGUCAUGUAUGUUUUAUGAUGAAUGCACAGAGCCAGAACUUAAAGGGAUCCAUAAAUGUUAUAUUUUGGACACUUUCAUUAGCUUGCUUCCUUGGGAGUGUUGUAACUGCUAUCUAGAACAGCUGGUAUGAGCUGUUUUAUUGCACAAAUAAUCCUACAGGUUUUGUGUCAUUCUUAUUUGUCAUCUUUGUAUCAGCAGAGAAGGAGCUGGCAAUACUGGAAUACUGGAGAAAAACCUGGACAUUUGGGUGACCAAUAAGGUCAUCUUAGUUCAUCUUUGUAGCUUGUGUUUUUGAAUUUUGUUAUUAUUAGCAGCUUUUUCACAUAUUUGUCAGAAAACACGUGGCUGUCAUCCUUCUAUGGAACCAUGUAAAGACAGAGUUGAAAUUCUUUAGGAAGUGUGUGAUGGCAAAAGGAUUGGGCUCCCACCAAUAUCUUUGCUGCACCAUUUGAUGUCAGCCUGCUGUUAGAUUUCUGCCAACCUUUAGGAAAGCAUUCUUUAUUUUGCUACAUGUUUAAGAAGUUCUUGUGAUUGAAAUAACUGUAGUUACCAAAUAGUAGAGCAGCCACAGUUAAUUAUUAGUCCACCAUCAAUAAGGAAGGGAGGUGCUGGUUAUCCUGAGUCCUAUAUCCACAAAUAUCCAGUAAUACUUUAAAGUUGCUUUUGCAGCUUCACUGCAGUUUCUGUCUAACACUAGAACUACAUACAAGAGCUGAGUUGACAUGCAGCACUCCUUGAGAUGAUUAUUCUAAUGUGGCUGCAAUCAAUGGGUAUUUUCCACAUUUAAUUGGAGUUUGUUUGGGGAUUCUUUCAGGAAUGUUGAAAUCUGCCUUAAGGGACAAACUUGGCCUAUGGAUUAUUAGACUAAACACAUUUUAAGUACAAAAUUUAUCUACAAUUAGCUUGACUGUUUGUAAUGAAAAGAUGGCUGAAACCACAGUCUUGUGAUUUUAUGUCUAUGGUACGCAGUGUACAAAGUAAAGCAUUAAUUCUAAAUAAAAUCAUUUUGCAAGCAGGUAUCUUCAAAUUACCUAAUCGCUCAUAGUACUUUCCAAAAAUACCUUUAAAGCCAUCCCAGACUGCGUUUGUAAAAAAGGUAUUUGCAUGUUUGUGCUUUUCUGUGUUUUAUUUAGUUGAUUUUUUUAAAUGAAAAAAGCUUAUUUGCUUGCCAGUUUUUAAUUGCUUUGACAAUUUUUACUGCAUUGUUACUCUGGAUGUAAACCUAUUAGCUGUGUUACUUAAAUCAAUUAGAUGUAUGUAGAUCUGUUGGAUAGUACUGCACAUUCAUGUUCUUCUCUGCUUGCAGCUGUGUCUUGGACAUUGGUGUAUUUGUGGUUGAGAACAAUUAGCUGAAAAGCCUUUCGUUUAUUUUGCCAGACAGAGGGCAAGUGACCCUGAGAAAUUUGGUGGUGAUACAUAUUUUACUUGCUUGGUUUUCAGUUCUGAGUAUGAAUGAGUAAAAGUUUUUGAGCCACUAAUCCAGUAAAUACAAUAGCCAGGACUCCUUAAGGGUAGUCUCAGUAUUGUAUCCAUGUCCUGCUCAUAUGGAAGCAAAGACAAGAUGCAAGGGAUGUGGUUUAAUUAGACCUCAAUUUUAUUAGCUUAGCCAUCUGGGAUUUACUGGCAUAAAUUUGUACAGUGGAGGUCAAGAUCCUUUCUUUAAUCAUUUCCUUCUGGUGUAAGUUGCUAUCAGUGCCCCAUUCCCACACAGCUGGUCCCCAGCCUGUUAUUGGGACUCCACUCUACAUGCUUUUAAUCCAAAUGAUAAGAGGUCUGGAAGAGAGAUUGUGUCUUUGGUGUAGUUCAGACAUUAACCCCAAAGAUAAUCUUUAGCUUUUUUAAGAGUCACUUUCUCCUAACUUCGUUUUCCAUUUCAGACUUUUAAAGCCAGCACCAAGAUGAGGUUUAAAGGAAGGAUAGAGUUCAUGUUCCUUGUUUCUGCAGUUGUGGUAGAAGGCAUAGGGCUAGGAUCAGUUUGCCCAUUAAUUCAUGUUAUUGACUCCAAAGGGAUAUUAGUUCCUUUUCUUUUUCUGACUUCGGUUCAUCUGUUCAGCUCUGCUUCCAUGUGUCCAAGUUCUGUGGCAUUUUUUUUUUUCUUUUUUUUUUUUUUUUUUUUUUUUUUUACUUUUUGGGCACUAAAGAAAAUAUUGUUUGACCUAUCUUAGUACAAGUUUAGCCUUAUACAUUACAUUGAGGGAAGUGUUUGUUUUAGUGAAAAAUACUAGUUAAUUUCUAUUAAAUCUGUAUAUAACUGUAUAUUUAAGUAAUAAUACCUGAAUACCUGAGCAGAUGUUCAGGGAACAGAAUCCCUACCUAAGAGGGAGAAUUCUGUUUAGAUCAUUGUUUUCUAUUCUAUGGGUUUGUGGCUUCAUUUCUAGAAAAAUGAUCCUUCCCAACUGAGUCUUCCUCAAUUAGCUGUGCCUUACCCACGAAAUUUGAGAAGAUCUCCCUGUUCAACAGCAAGCUCUUUUUCAUAUACCUGGAUGCAAUGGACAUUUCUUAGGCAUAUUUUAUUCAAAUAAAUAAAGAAAUUGUGAUCAAUGUAAUGCACAUACUAAGUAAUUAAUUGCAUAUGCUUUCUCUAGCUCUUACAAUUGCAAGAAUUGAAAUGAUCCAAAUAAAAAAGUAAUUUUUCACUUCUGAAUUUGAAUAAUUUGCUCCAUAAUAUUAGUAUCUAAAACCUGUUUGAAUCAAAUGCUGUUUCAUUCACUGUUGAAAAAAUAGUUAAUGUUGACUGUCAGAAGCUAUGGAGUUUACAUCUGUACAUCAUAAAUUUCACUAUCAUCUGCUCCUUUUUCUACUUAAAAAGAAAAAAAAAUUCCCCUGCUUAAAAAAGAAAGGAAAAAAAGGGGCCUUUGAAGGCAUCAGACCCUUUUGUUUGAAGUGUGGAAUAAGAUUAAUAAAAACGUGCCACUACAUUAGCUUUUAAAUAGCUAGCAUGAGACACUGCUGCUGUCUAUACUCACCACAACUUUAAUUUAUGUAGAUAACAUGUUUUAGACACAUGAUAGUUUUAGCUUUGAGUUAGGCCUCUUUCUUGGGGAAGAUCUCAGAUUUGUGACUGUGUUUAUCUUCUGUGCAAGGACAAUUAACUGGGUAAUGCCAAAACACAAUAGCAUUUGAUAUUUUGAAGAAUAAAAGAAAAAUAUUUCAUGUAUCCAGCUGGUUUACAGAUGUGUAAGCUUUGUAGUCCAUUCUCUUGCUCCAGCGUGGCAUUGUGACUGUAUGCCCAAUAUAUCUAAAACAGAUAAAUAUUGGAAGAGAAAAUGCCUUUUCAAAUGUUAAGGGUUUUUUUUAAUUUAUAAUAAUUUCUAUUAACACAAAUCAUCAUCAAAUCUUGUAGUUGUAAUCUUAGAAUUGCAAGAAUAUCUACAUAAAUAUUAAAUUAUUUUCAUGUAGUUGACACACCUGCAGCAUGUUGAAUACAGGUCUUCAGGUGUUACAAGUUGCUAAGACCCUUUUAUUAGCAGAAUUUUAUAUGUUUAAACUACAAGAGAGAAUUUUUAAAAAAUUUUAUUCUACUGGCACCAAAUACUUCAGAUGGUGGAAAAGUGAAUGGAGAACAAAUAAUCUCUUUAAGUAUAGGAUGGAAGUUUUUUCUGUCAUGUCCUGUUUUAUACAAUAAUCAAAGAUGUUGAUGUAUUCUUUAAAGCUGCUGUAUCUUCAUGUUUAUUCACCUACAUUCUGUAAUGUCAAUUAUGGAAGAAGAAAUUCAUUUGGGCAUUACACACUGAAUCUCCCACAUUUUUGGAAUUGAAAAAGCUAAUGUAGAAAGUUGGUUUCCAAAAUGAGUUCAACUUUUCAAAAGUUCAUUAUAUAUUUCUUUUUAAAUUUGAAGACUAAAUGUUUGGGACAGUGUGAAAAUUAACAAGGUUUGUAAACAACUGGUUGAGAAAAGCAGUUCUCUUUCAGCAAUGGAAUGGAAAUAUCUCCAGUUUCAAGAGAUAGUUGGAAUUUGGUCAGUACAUUUCUCUACUCUCAUCACGUAAGCCAGUGUAAAUGGAAAAAAAAUAUGCACAGUUCUUGAUAUUUUUUUGAGUCAAUACUGAGUACAUGAAAAUCAACCACAUAUUGCACUUCUCUCAAACUGCUCCAAAUGAAGAAAGGAAUUUUAGUCUUAAAUUUUGGGCUUUUUUAGAAGAGUCUAGGAAGUCAUCCCAGGCAGAUUGUGAAGAAUGAACUCCGUUGUCUGGCCCCUGAAAGAGACUCCUGAUGAUUUAAAGAGAGAGCUUUGACUUAAAUAUACUGAUUUACCAAAAAAAGGGGUACCAGAGCUCCCUCAUUUUAUCAGUCUUGGAUAAAGUUUGGGAGGUGUGGCUAUUUUGUUCUCAGUGAUUCAGUUUUAACUUGUAUUCUUAUGUUCAUGGAAAUUAUUUUAAAGGGCUCCUGUAAGUAAUGAUUAUCAAAAGAACAGUUUUAUGAAAAUAUCAUCAGAAUAUGCAAUUGCAUGGUAGAUUCUCUUUAGGUUUGGUUAUACAGCUCUUGCCUUCUUUUUCCCAAAUGUGUUUGGAGAACUGCAUGUGCAUGUGGAGAUGGUAUGAUUGGUAGCUUGGAAAUGGGAGAGUUCCUUUGAGUAGGGGAGUCCUAACUGCAGUUGAGCUCUGUAAAGUGUCCUAGCCUUAGGAGCUGGAAGCACCAGGAAUCCCUGUAACCUCUUACUGCUCUUACCCUUUAGCAUUCUACAUCACACUUGUGCCAUUAGAUUUUUGUUCCAUUCCUUUCUCCCCCGUGUUCUUUCAUUUCUACCUUUGCUCUUCUUUGCCUUCUUCCCCUCUUUGGUGUAGUGCCUAUAUCCUUUCUGCCAAAGCAGCUCUUCUGUUAGCUCAAAUCUAGUUUUUCAUAGGGUGAGCUAUGUAAAUUCCAGGGGAGACAGGUUUCACAUGGCUUUUUGGGUUCUUAAAUAGAAAGCAAUACGUAAACUGUUCCAUUUUAAAUCAUAUGCAACUUUCUGGUAAUUUACAGCAAACAUCGAGUGCUUUUGCCUCUUUCUUGGCAGCAGCUGAAUGGAAACAUGGGCUUAGGACUCAAACUGCUUUUUGAAGACAUUGUUUCUAGUAUUGACAGUGAAAGGUGCAUUUUGGAGAAGGAUGAGUGUUUUCUGUGGCUCUUUUUUGUUAUAAGAGAAUGGAUCCAAUGGUUUUCCCAUUUCAAAUAAUUUGAAUCUUUGAGACAUGUCUAUUAAAUGUGAAUAACUGUAAAAUCCAAAAUUUCUAGUUUAAAUGGUGCAUAACAUGCUUAUCUAUUACAACUGCUUUGUAGGAAAUAGUAUAUUGAAAAAACUGAAGUUAACUUUAUUCUGUCUGCAAUCAUUAAGCACCAUCUAUACACACAUAUGUAUUUAGCAUAAAUUUUCAUACACUCAUUUUAUUAAACAGAUUGGCUUCUGUGCUCUGUUGUUUCAAGUCAUACUUUAAAUAUUAUUUACAUUGAAAUUCUUAAUUAAUGAUGCUUUAUUAAAGCACUUGUGGAGUGUAGCCACUACAGUGUUAAGUAAUAUUCUAAAAAUAGAGGUUCUAUCAGCAUUCUUCAUUUAAUAUUAAAAUUGGUUAAAUGUGCUUAAUGUCAUCCAUUGAAAUAAAUUAAAAUGUAAAAGAAAUCAGAAAAAUUACUACUAGUAGGAAAAUAGAACUGAGUGAAGUAGGAUUAUGGAACAAUUACAUAUCUACAAUUAAGGGUUAACAGAGCUGUGGCAAGCUCUGUGAUUACCAUAGCUGUGGUCAACAUUCAGUUUUGUUUGCUGCUGCGGUGUUUUUUGGUCAGCAUGUCUAACCACCAUCACCACAGCAAAACCUUUUAAUUGCUGAACAGAUGUAUUUCUUGGUUGUUUUCAUCAUGACUGAACUGAGGGUUUAAUGUUGAUGAGAGCACCAGGAGUGCCACCUUCCCCCAGCCAUGCCUUCAGUUACUUGGAUCAAGAGUGUCUCCUGUUGACCACAUUGAGCAUAUAUACACUAAAUAUUGCCAGGGACACAGGCCACUGUUGGAAUAUGCUGUGUUGUAACACACACAGACAUCAUCUAGACAAUCCAGGACAGUGUGAUUUAUACUGGUUUUUUUCUGGAUAUUCCUUCCUUUUCAUAGAGCUUAAAUAACUUAAAGACCAACCAUGAUGCUUCAUUAGCAAAAGGGGAAGAACUGAAUGAACAGCUUAAAGAGGGGCAGUUAAAAUUGUUCCAAAUUCAAAACAAAUUGCCAUCAGUAGCUAUUUCAAACAGAGGGACAAAGGAGGUGAGGCUGUGGGGAAGAGCUAGAAUCUUUUACUUUAGGUAGUGCAUACAGAUAAGGGAAAAUAAAUGUUUGGGUACAUUUCAAUGGAGGAGAUGUGAAUAGACCUUUCAAACAUUUUUAGAAGACGACCUGGUACUAUAUAUAUUUUUAUCUUAUUCAAAAGAAAAACUUCUGACCAAAAUGCUGUUUGUAUUUCAUAGAACUGUGAACCACACCUGAUCCAAACCACCAGUGUUUGGACAAUAUUUGAAGUUAAAGUAUAGGACAUAAUGUAAAUUCUGGUAGUAAAAAAGUGAUUUAUUAAUAGAAAAAAACCAUAAUACUUGGUUUAUUGCUAGUUUUUAGUAUUCUUUGAACCUGAUUUAAUUAGAGUUCAGUGUUACAUCUUACACAGCAGUUCAAAUCACUCACUUCUAUUUCUUUGUCUAGUGACUCUGAGAGACUUCUGUCAUCACUAACAAGUUACCCAGAUACAGAGCUAAACAUCAGAUGGGGAAUGGUUUCUUCCCCAUUUUCUUCAAUGUAUAAGAAAUAAAAAUGUGAAAACCUACUUGAUUUUUCUUGCAUUUUGUAGCAACUUAUAUUUACUUUUGCCACCUGCUUUACCUGUUGUAAAUAAAUGUAUUUUACAUGACCCAAUUUUACCUCAUAGAUAUUUUUGCCAAGAAUUUUAAAUGUUGUAAUGCAUGGAGGGUAGAUAUUCUCUAUGUAAGUAUCUCAUGUCUUUAAACCAGAUCCUGCUGUAGUGAGUGUUUUGGAAGCAAGGGUGUUUUGUUUCUAUAAUGUCACUAAAAAUAUUUUCUAUGCAAAAGCCAUGCCCUAGCUAAUACUGAUAUUCACUGACUAAAAGGGAAUUUAAAAAUAUAACACUCCAGGUUUUUAUAUUGUUUUGCAUAAGACAGAAUGUGAUUAGAAACUGUUGAUCAGCUGCAACAUGCUACUCUCAGCUACAUCUGAACAGCAUGGAAAAGACUUUGGGCUAAUGUAAAUAAAUCCAUGUGAAUUUAUCUUAUAAAGCUUCUGAGAGACAGUUGUAUGAAAAGAACAAAUAAUAGCCUGACACUGCCUAAAAAUUAUUUGCUAUUUCUGUUCACACAUUCGUUGUAAUUUCAUUUAAGAAAUGCUGUGCAUUUCUUGAAACUUUUCUCUUCAUUUAAUUAUAGGAAAGAAUAAACAUCUAGAAAAAGAGAAUGAGCUCUUGAACAUAAACUAUGAUAAGCUGUGUAAGGAAGGAGAAAAAUCUGGAUUAAAAUUACAUCACUUGGCUUUAUGAAGCCAUGAAUUACAUCAAAUGAAAGAAUGCAGCAGCUGAGUGUAGAAUGCAGAUGAAACAAUCUCCCUGCAGAGGACACUCCACUGUCACUUCCAAACCCAGCAGGUGUCACAGGAGUGACUGUAGCUAUAGAACUGUGCUCAGUGAUUCCCCAGAAGAUGAGCAGAACUUGAAUGUGAAGAUACUGAUUUUGCUGAAUCUGUUUGAAAAAUAUAUUCCAGAAGCAAAGAAAUACCAUUGAACAAGACAUUGGUGGUUUUGAUUCCCAAGAUGACAGUGCAGUAAUUGGAAAGCUCAGAGGAGCAGUGGAAGCCCUCCAUGGGCUGCCCUCAGUCGAGAGGGGAAUGCAAAGAUGACUACGAGGCAUGAAAGGAAGUUUGCCUACAGAGGAGCCUUCUCCCAGUGUAAAUACAUGCUUGAUAGUGCAUCAAAGAUGAGAUCUUUGUAAUUCCUGCAGUAUAUUUAAUGUAUAAUUGAUAUGAAAAGGACGCUUGAUUUGUAGUUGUAAAGUUUUGUAUACUUUUCAGUCUGUUUGUUUUUAUAUUUCCCCCCUAAGGCUAAGAAUAUCUCCACAAUGGACAACGUCUUGUAAAUAAUUAAUACCUACAUGAUUGAACGACGUGCUUUAUUUGCAUUUUUAAGAUUUUUUCCUACAUAAAACAGUAAUAAAAAUGCAAGUCAAAAUUUUAAUUUUUAAUAAAAAAACCAUAAGCCUUAGAAAACUGAUUAAAAAUACUUUUAUGUUAUCCCUAAUCACCCCGUUAAAUGGAAUGCCUGUGAUUAGCCUCAUUAAGAAUUUUAUACUGUGAAGAUUUUAUUAAAAGCAAUAUAUGAAAAUUACUUGGAUUAAUGUGUUAAUCUGCCUCUUUAAAAUGCUAAUAUCCAUUUUAUGCACAUUAAAUCUCAGUAUGUGUUUUCUUUGAUGCAUGCAGUUCCUAUCAAUUAAAUAUAAAAAAUUAGGCUAGUUGCAGGACUUAUUAAAUUACUGCACCCUUUUUUAAAAUAACUUUUACCCUUCUACUGGCAUUAUAAUCAGCUGUUUAUGGUUACCAUAAUUUGAAGUAGGGGGAGGGCAGGAACAAUAAUUUUCUGUACAGGAGAUGAUUUACUUGCAGCCAACAUCUGUCAAAGCACAAAAAGAAGCCAUAGAGUAUCAGAUUUUGCUUCACCUGCUUUGGGCUUUAGGGAUGGGCAACUGUUUUCAUUUGGGUUUUGUCACUUUUAGAACUUACAUCAAACAUAUACAAUAAAUUGUUGUAUCUGAAUAA